rnacentral:rRNA from 1 species
ACGGGGGCAGCAGUGGGGGAUAUUGCACAAUGGAGGAAACUCUGAUGCAGCAACGCCGCGUGAGGGAAGAAGGUUUUCGGAUUGUAAACCUCUGUUUUUAGUGAGGAAAAAAAUGACGGUAGCUAAAGAGGAAGCCACGGCUAACUACGUGCCAGCAGCCGCGGUAAUACGUAGGUGGCAAGCGUUGUCCGGAUUUACUGGGUGUAAAGGGUGCGCAGGCGGGACUGCAAGUUGGAUGUGAAAUACCGAGGCUUAACCUCGGGGCUGCAUCCAAAACUGUAGUUCUUGAGUGAAGUAGAGGUAAGCGGAAUUCCGAGUGUAGCGGUGAAAUGCGUAGAUAUUCGGAGGAACACCAGUGGCGAAGGCGGCUUACUGGGCUUUAACUGACGCUGAGGCACGAAAGCAUGGGUAGCAAACAGGAUUAGAUACCCUGAUA